AUUGAACGCUGGCGGCAUGCCUUACACAUGCAAGUCGAACGGUAACAGGGAGCUUGCUCCGCUGACGAGUGGCGAACGGGUGAGUAAUGCGUCGGAACGUGCCGAGUAGUGGGGGAUAACGCAUCGAAAGGUGUGCUAAUACCGCAUACGUACUGAGGUAGAAAGUGGGGGACCUUCGGGCCUCACGCUAUUCGAGCGGCCGACGUCUGAUUAGCUAGUUGGUGAGGUAAAGGCUCACCAAGGCGACGAUCAGUAGCGGGUCUGAGAGGAUGAUCCGCCACACUGGGACUGGGACACGGCCCAGACUCCUACGGGAGGCAGCAGUGGGGAAUUUUGGACAAUGGGCGCAAGCCUGAUCCAGCCAUGCCGCGUGUCUGAAGAAGGCCUUCGGGUUGUAAAGGACUUUUGUCCGGGAGCAAAUGCUGGUGGCUAACAUCCACCGGAGCUGAGAGUACCGGAAGAAUAAGCACCGGCUAACUACGUGCCAGCCGCCGCUGUAACAC
rnacentral:rRNA from 1 species